GGCAUGGUGGCUGAGUGGUAAAGUGCUUGGCUUCCGAACCGAUGGUUCCAGGUUCAAAUCCUGGUUAUGACU
rnacentral:tRNA from 1 species